GUUUGUGUGGUGUAGUUGGUUAACACACUUGUCCAGCAAACAGGAGCCAUAGAUUCGAAUUCUACCGGAGUCA
rnacentral:tRNA from 1 species